CGGCUGGCCAGGCCAAAGGAAGCGUAAACACUUCUCUUGCAGUAUAUUAUUGUUGGGAUGAGCGUCUCCACUUCUUCAAGCCAGACUCACCAGGAGGGAAGUGACACCACACUCAUAUUAUAGACUUUCAUGUGAUACAAAACACUGUCUGUGUAGCUACAAUUGCAUCACCCUCCGUUCCUUGGGUACUAUUAGCAGCAGUUGCCUAAAAUCCAGAUCAGGCAACUGAAGUGACUCCUCUGGAAGCUGAGCUUAACACUUGAUGAACUGGGUCGAGAUUGCCAUCGAGAGAGUUUACAUCACAGUCACAUCUUCUUAGAAUCCCCUAGGCCUGGUUCAAGCACCAGCAACUCUUCUGAAUCUCCAGUACCUCCUCCUAAUACAAGUGAAAGCAGAUCUUCUUUACCAGCCUCCAUAGGAAGAAAGAGAUGAAGGCUUAGUAAAUUUACAAAGGAGGACUACUAUUAUCAGAUGCUGUUGUAUCAGAAGCAACAUCACAAGGCUGCUAGACAGGAAAAUUAGGGAAGAGACAGAAGCCUGCCAAAGCUGGAGGGUUGCAAUUGCAGGAAUAAGAGACAUUUCCUCAUGUGCCCAGUGCUGUAUAUAUGUUCACAGAAUAAUAAUGAGUGAUUUACAUCAUGAAGUCCCUCACUAGUGAAUCUUAGAACAUUGUUUUCUUGCAAAGGUACUUCUCAGCCAUGCACUUAACCAUUUACCAUAGCACCAUACAAGAGAACAUAAAAAUUGUAUGAUAUAUUCUAGUUGUUCUGUGAUCUUUUGCAAUAGUCAAUAACUGCAGUGGCUACUGUGAAGAAAAGUCCUUAUGCUAAUCCUGUGAUUAUUACACAGUAAAACUGUUAUUUAUGUUUUGUAUCACAUAUAAAGUCUUAUGAAUGUUCUCAUACUGUUUAUAUUUUUAGUUUACUUUCAUAGUAUAUUUUUAUCACAUUUAUUGUAUUAUUACUUAAAAUAAUUUUAUUACAAAUAUGUAUUAUGCCUGUAGCAGUUUAAAUAUAUACUA